UACGAAGGGGGCUAGCGUUGCUCGGAAUUACUGGGCGUAAAGCGCACGUAGGCGGUCUUUUAAGUCGGGGGUGAAAUCCUGGAGCUCAACUCCAGAACUGCCUUUGAUACUGGCUAUCUUGAGUUCGGGAGAGGUGAGUGGAAUGCCGAGUGUAGAGGUGAAAUUCGUAGAUAUUCGGCGGAACACCAGUGGCGAAGGCGACUCACUGGCCCGAUACUGACGCUGAGGCGCGAAAGCGUGGGGAGCAAACAGG
rnacentral:rRNA from 1 species